CCUACGGGAGGCAGCAGUGAGGAAUAUUGGUCAAUGGCCGUAAGGCUGAACCAGCCAAGUAGCGUGAGGGAAGACUGCCCUAUGGGUUGUAAACCUCUUUUAUGCGGGGAUAAAGUUGUCCACGUGUGGCUGUUUGCAGGUACCGUAUGAAUAAGGACCGGCUAACUCCGUGCCAGCAGCCGCGGUAAUACGGAGGGUCCGGGCGUUAUCCGGAUUUAUUGGGUUUAAAGGGAGCGUAGGUCGGUCUUUAAGUCAGUUGUGAAAGUUUGCGGCUCAACCAUGAGAGUGCAGUGGAAACUGGAGGCCUUGAGUGCGCGGGAGGCAGGCGGAAUUCGUGGUGUAGCGGUGAAAUGCUUAGAUAUCACGAAGAACCCCGAUUGCGAAGGCAGCCUACCGAAGCGUUACUGACGCUGAAGCUCGAAAGCGCGGGUAUCGAACAGGAUUAGAUACCCUGGUAGUC
rnacentral:rRNA from 1 species